rnacentral:lncRNA from 1 species
UGGCCCAUAGAAGGCCCAUCAAUUGUUCUGUGUAGGGCGGGAAGCGGAUUGGAUGAUUCCGGACUGAUCCUGACAGCAUCCAAACGAUGGCGUUUAGUAGGAGCAUGUGUUUAUCCGGAGGCUAAUUCAAACCAGUAAGGACUAAGGAGCAGCUUGUUGUCACAGUUCAGUUCAGAUAUCGCCAUAUCGGAGCUCAGAAGAGAACCCAAAUAAAACUUUGAUGGCUACACCUCCAGCUCAAGCUCAUCCGUCGCUCCUUCUUUCGAAUCCUGCGCCGCAGCUGCAAAUCUUCUUCACUCUCCGGAGACAGACCGUCUCCGUUCACGGCAGAGCAAGAGCGACCAGGUUCAAAUGCUCGGCGGCAACGGGGACGGGGUUCU